rnacentral:rRNA from 1 species
GUGGGGAAUUUUGGACAAUGGGCGCAAGCCUGAUCCAGCCAUUCCGCGUGCAGGAUGAAGGCCUUCGGGUUGUAAACUGCUUUUGUACGGAACGAAAAGCCUCUGGUUAAUACCCGGGGGUCAUGACGGUACCGUAAGAAUAAGCACCGGCUAACUACGUGCCAGCAGCCGCGGUAAUACGUAGGGUGCGAGCGUUAAUCGGAAUUACUGGGCGUAAAGCGUGCGCAGGCGGUGCUGUAAGACAGGCGUGAAAUCCCCGGGCUCAACCUGGGAAUUGCGCUUGUGACUGCAGUGCUGGAGUGCGGCAGAGGGGGAUGGAAUUCCGCGUGCAGCAGUGAAAUGCGUAGAUAUGCGGAGGAACACCGAUGGCGAAGGCAAUCCCCUGGGCCUACACUGACGCUCAUGCACGAAAGCGUGGGGAGCAAACAGGAUUAGAUACCCUAGUAGUCC